CAGGUCUACUUGUGCUGCAAUAGGGGGCUACUAAACUUACUGCCUGGUAGGGGUCGAUACACACAUACUGUAAUAACGGGUAGCUGAUGUUUAUGAAGUGUCAGAUGCUAUCUAAGGGUCCCUGUUAUCUUAGAUGGGCAAUUUUAGUAGUUUCAGCUCUGUCUUGGAUAGUGCAGGAUGUUCAGAUACCUGCUGUACAAGUUUGAAUUAGUCA